rnacentral:rRNA from 1 species
UCAGGAUGAACGCUAGCGACAGGCCUAACACAUGCAAGUCGAGGGGCAGCACAAGGAGCAAUCUGAGGUGGCGACCGGCGCACGGGUGAGUAACACGUAUGCAACCUGCCUGUAAGCGGGGAAUAACCCGUUGAAAGACGGACUAAUACCGCAUAAUACUAAAUUACUGCAUGGUAAUUUAUUUAAACAUUUAUGGCUUACAGAUGGGCAUGCGCAUGAUUAGCUAGUUGGAGAGGUAACGGCUCCCCAAGGCAACGAUCAUUAGGGGUUCUGAGAGGAAGGUCCCCCCACACUGGUACUGAGACACGGACCAGACUCCUACGGGAGGCAGCAGUGAGGAAUAUUAGUCAAUGGACGAGAGUCUGAACCAGCCAAGUCGCGUGCAGGAAGAAUUGUCCUAUGGAUUGUAAACUGCUUUUGCAGGGGAAUAAAGUGCAUCACGUGUGAUGUUUUGUAUGUACUCUGCGAAUAAGGAUCGGCUAACUCCGUGCCAGCCGCCGC